rnacentral:rRNA from 1 species
GUGUCAGCAGCCGCGGUAAUACGUAGGGUGCGAGCGUUAUCCGGAAUUACUGGGCGUAAAGCGUGCGCAGGCGGUUAUGUAAGUCAGAUGUGAAAUCCCCGGGCUCAACCUGGGAACUGCAUUUGUGACUGCAUGGCUAGAGUACGGUAGAGGGGGAUGGAAUUCCGCGUGUAGCAGUGAAAUGCGUAGAUAUGCGGAGGAACACCGAUGGCGAAGGCAAGCCCCUGGACCGGUACUGACGCUCAUGCACGAAAGCGUGGGGAGCAAACAGGAUUAGAAACCCCUGUAGUCC